AUUUUGGACAAUGGGCGCAAGCCUGAUCCAGCCAUGCCGCGUGUGGGAAGAAGGCCUUCGGGUUGUAAACCACUUUUGUCAGGGAAGAAACGGCUUAGUUUAAUACGCUGAGCUAAUGACGGUACCUGAAGAAUAAGCACCGGCUAACUACGUGCCAGCAGCCGCGGUAAUACGUAGGGUGCAAGCGUUAAUCGGAAUUACUGGGCGUAAAGCGUGCGCAGGCGGCUUUGCAAGACAGAUGUGAAAUCCCCGGGCUCAACCUGGGAACUGCAUUUGUGACUGCAUGGCUAGAGUGCGGCAGAGGGGGAUGGAAUUCCGCGUGUAGCAGUGAAAUGCGUAGAUAUGCGGAGGAACACCGAUGGCGAAGGCAAUCCCCUGGGCCUGCACUGACGCUCAUGCACGAAAGCGUGGGGAGCAAACAGGAUUAGAUACCC
rnacentral:rRNA from 1 species